rnacentral:rRNA from 1 species
UACGGAAGGGGCGAGCGUUGUUCGGAAUUAUUGGGCGUAAAGAGCUCGUAGGCGGUUUGUUGCGUCUAUCGUGAAAACCUGCAGCUUAACUGUGGGCUUGCGGUGGAUACGGGCAGACUUGAGUUCGGUAGGGGAGACUGGAAUUCCUGGUGUAGCGGUGAAAUGCGCAGAUAUCAGGAGGAACACCGGUGGCGAAGGCGGGUCUCUGGGCAGUAACUGACGCUGAGGAGCGAAAGCGUGGGGAGCGAACAGG